rnacentral:rRNA from 1 species
CCUACGGGUGGCAGCAGUGGGGAAUCUUGGGCAAUGGAGGAAACUCUGACCCAGCAACGCCGCGUGAGUGAUGAAGGUCUUCGGAUUGUAAAGUUCUUUUCUAAGGGAAGAAGAAAGUGACGGUACCUUAGGAAUAAGCCUCGGCUAACUACGUGCCAGCAGCCGCGGUAAUACGUAGGAGGCGAGCGUUAUCCGGAAUGACUGGGCGUAAAGGGUGCGUAGGUGGUUCGGCAAGUUAGUAGCGUAACUCCAAGGCUCAACCUUGGAACUACUACUAAAACUGUUGGACUUGAGUGCAGGAGGGGCGACCGGAAUGCCUGGUGUAGCGGUGGAAUGCGUAGAUAUAAGGAAGAACACCAGUGGCGAAGGCGGGUUGCUGGCCUGUAACUGACGCUGAGGCACGAAAGCGUGGGGAGCGAACAGGAUUAGAUACCCGAGUAGUC